CGGGACACGUGGUAUCCUGUCUGAAUAUGGGGGGACCAUCCUCCAAGGCUAAAUACUCCUGACUGACCGAUAGUGAACCAGUACCGUGAGGGAAAGGCGAAAAGAACCCCGGCGAGGGGAGUGAAAAAGAACCUGAAACCGUGUACGUACAAGCAGUGGGAGCACAGAGCAAUCUGUGUGACUGCGUACCUUUUGUAUAAUGGGUCAGCGACUUAUAUUCUGUAGCAAGGUUAACCGAAUAGGGGAGCCGAAGGGAAACCGAGUCUUAACUGGGCGUUAAGUUGCAGGGUAUAGACCCGAAACCCGGUGAUCUAGCCAUGGGCAGGUUGAAGGUUGGGUAACACUAACUGGAGGACCGAACCGACUAAUGUUGAAAAAUUAGCGGAUGACUUGUGGCUGGGGGUGAAAGGCCAAUCAAACCGGGAGAUAGCUGGUUCUCCCCGAAAGCUAUUUAGGUAGCGCCUCGUGAAUUCAUCUCCGGGGGUAGAGCACUGUUUCGGCAAGGGGGUCAUCCCGACUUACCAACCCGAUGCAAACUACGAAUACCGGAGAAUGUUAUCACGGGAGACACACGGCGGGUGCUAACGUCCGUCGUGAAGAGGGAAACAACCCAGACCGCCAGCUAAGGUCCCAAAGUCAUGGUUAAGUGGGAAACGAUGUGGGAAGGCCCAGACAGCCAGGAUGUUGGCUUAGAAGCAGCCAUCAUUUAAAGAAAGCGUAAUAGCUCACUGGUCGAGUCGGCCUGCGCGGAAGAUGUAACGGGGCUAAACCAUGCACCGAAGCUGCGGCAGCGACGCUGAUGCGUUGUUGGGUAGGGGAGCGUUCUGUAAGCCUGCGAAGGUGUGCUGUGAGGCAUGCUGGAGGUAUCAGAAGUGCGAAUGCUGACAUAAGUAACGAUAAAGCGGGUGAAAAGCCCGCUCGCCGGAAGACCAAGGGUUCCUGUCCAACGUUAAUCGGGGCAGGGUGAGUCGACCCCUAAGGCGAGGCCGAAAGGCGUAGUCGAUGGGAAACAGGUUAAUAUUCCUGUACUUGGUGUUACUGCGAAGGGGGGACGGAGAAGGCUAUGUUGGCCGGGCGACGGUUGUCCCGGUUUAAGCGUGUAGGCUGGUUUUCCAGGCAAAUCCGGAAAAUCAAGGCUGAGGCGUGAUGACGAGGCACUACGGUGCUGAAGCAACAAAUGCCCUGCUUCCAGGAAAAGCCUCUAAGCAUCAGGUAACAUCAAAUCGUACCCCAAACCGACACAGGUGGUCAGGUAGAGAAUACCAAGGCGCUUGAGAGAACUCGGGUGAAGGAACUAGGCAAAAUGGUGCCGUAACUUCGGGAGAAGGCACGCUGAUAUGUAGGUGAAGUCCCUCGCGGAUGGAGCUGAAAUCAGUCGAAGAUACCAGCUGGCUGCAACUGUUUAUUAAAAACACAGCACUGUGCAAACACGAAAGUGGACGUAUACGGUGUGACGCCUGCCCGGUGCCGGAAGGUUAAUUGAUGGGGUCAGCGCAAGCGAAGCUCUUGAUCGAAGCCCCGGUAAACGGCGGCCGUAACUAUAACGGUCCUAAGGUAGCGAAAUUCCUUGUCGGGUAAGUUCCGACCUGCACGAAUGGCGUAAUGAUGGCCAGGCUGUCUCCACCCGAGACUCAGUGAAAUUGAACUCGCUGUGAAGAUGCAGUGUACCCGCGGCAAGACGGAAAGACCCCGUGAACCUUUACUAUAGCUUGACACUGAACAUUGAGCCUUGAUGUGUAGGAUAGGUGGGAGGCUUUGAAGUGUGGACGCCAGUCUGCAUGGAGCCGACCUUGAAAUACCACCCUUUAAUGUUUGAUGUUCUAACGUGGACCCGUAAUCCGGGUUGCGGACAGUGUCUGGUGGGUAGUUUGACUGGGGCGGUCUCCUCCUAAAGAGUAACGGAGGAGCACGAAGGUUGGCUAAUCCUGGUCGGACAUCAGGAGGUUAGUGCAAUGGCAUAAGCCAGCUUGACUGCGAGCGUGACGGCGCGAGCAGGUGCGAAAGCAGGUCAUAGUGAUCCGGUGGUUCUGAAUGGAAGGGCCAUCGCUCAACGGAUAAAAGGUACUCCGGGGAUAACAGGCUGAUACCGCCCAAGAGUUCAUAUCGACGGCGGUGUUUGGCACCUCGAUGUCGGCUCAUCACAUCCUGGGGCUGAAGUAGGUCCCAAGGGUAUGGCUGUUCGCCAUUUAAAGUGGUACGCGAGCUGGGUUUAGAACGUCGUGAGACA
rnacentral:rRNA from 1 species